GGGUAGGUUCCGGAGCGGCCAAACGGGGCAGACUGUAAAUCUGCUGUCUUACGACUUCGCUGGUUCGAAUCCAGCCCUGCCCACCA
rnacentral:tRNA from 2 species